GAUGAAGAACGUAGCGAAAUGCGAUAAGUAGUGUGAAUUGCAGAAUUCAGUGAAUCAUCGAAUCUUUGAACGCACAUUGCGCCCCUUGGUAUUCCAUGGGGCAUGCCUGUUCGAGCGUCAUUUGUACCUUCAAGCUCUGCUUGGUGUUGGGUGUUUGUCUCGCCUCUGCGCGCAGACUCGCCUCAAAACAAUUGGCAGCCGGCGUAUUGAUUUCGGAGCGCAGUACAUCUCGCGCUUUGCACUCAUAACGACGACGUCCAUAAAGUACAUUUUUUACACUAUUGACCUCGGAUCAGGUAGGGAUACCCGCUGAACUUAAGCAUAUCAAUAAGCGGAGGA
rnacentral:misc_RNA from 1 species